rnacentral:rRNA from 1 species
AUGAGAAGCAAAUUUCAUGGUCCUUUCUGGAAAGAUUUGGUCAUUGAUUAUGGUCUUCGUCAUUGUGAUAGAAUGACCGUUAGGCUUGAGCAUUAUGGAACGUUGAUUGGUGUUGAUUUUUAUCGGGGUGGAGAUAUGUUGUCUCCUUUAUCUUCCGUUGCUUUUGAUGGUUUGAGCGACUCUGAGAAGCAGCUUGUUGGUAGUUAUUAUUGCACCUGUGGUGUUUUUCUCAAUUAUCAGCAGAUGUAUUUCAUGACCUGUCAACUCUUUAAUGAUGAGCACAUACCCCGUUGUCCUUUUGUUUACAGGAUUAAUUCCAUGAAUGUUAAUGGUCAUCAUAUGGUUAUUCCUGGCAUUGUUCUGAGAAGUUUGAAGGAGUUUGUGACAUUUCCAAGGACAGACGUUUUAACUCUUGAUGUUACUUUGGAAUCUCGUGAUGAUGAUAUACGUGUGAGCACUCCUUGUUGCUAG